UCUUUCGAAUGUUUUCAGUUU
rnacentral:piRNA from 1 species